rnacentral:rRNA from 1 species
UACAGAGGGUGCGAGCGUUAAUCGGAAUUACUGGGCGUAAAGCGCGCGUAGGCGGCUUUGCAAGCCGGAUGUGAAAUCCCCGGGCUUAACCUGGGAACUGCAUUCGGGACUGCAUUGCUAGAGUAUGGGAGAGGUGUGUGGAACUCCGAGUGUAGAGGUGAAAUUCGUAGAUAUUCGGAAGAACACCAGUGGUGAAGGCGACACACUGGCCCAAUACUGACGCUGAGGCUCGAAAGCGUGGGGAGCAAACAGG